UACGUAGGGGGCAAGCGUUGUCCGGAAUUAUUGGGCGUAAAGCGCGCGCAGGCGGUCUUUUAAGUCUGGGGUUUAAACGGAGGGCUCAACCCUUCGUCGCCUUGGAAACUGGGAGACUGGAGUGCAGGAGAGGGAAGCGGAAUUCCACGUGUAGCGGUGAAAUGCGUAGAGAUGUGGAGGAACACCAGUGGCGAAGGCGGCUUCCUGGCCUGUAACUGACGCUGAGGCGCGAAAGCGUGGGGAGCAAACAGG
rnacentral:rRNA from 1 species